UACGUAGGGCGCAAGCGUUAUCCGGAAUUAUUGGGCGUAAAGAGCUCGUAGGCGGUUUGUCGCGUCUGCUGUGAAAACUGGAGGCUCAACCUCCAGCUUGCAGUGGGUACGGGCAAACUAGAGUGCGGUAGGGGAGAUUGGAAUUCCUGGUGUAGCGGUGGAAUGCGCAGAUAUCAGGAGGAACACCGAUGGCGAAGGCAGAUCUCUGGGCCGUAACUGACGCUGAGGAGCGAAGCAUGGGGAGCGAACAUG
rnacentral:rRNA from 1 species